UGGGGAAUAUUGGACAAUGGGGGCAACCCUGAUCCAGCGACGCCGCGUGUGUGAAGAAGGCCUUCGGGUUGUAAAGCACUUUCGGUGGGGACAAACAAGACGGAGCUAACAUCUCCGUUCCUGAUGGUACCCAAAGAAGAAGCACCGGCUAACUCUGUGCCAGCAGCCGCGGUAAUACAGAGGGUGCGAGCGUUAAUCGGAAUUACUGGGCGUAAAGCGUGCGUAGGUGGUUUGCUAAGUCAGGUGUGAAAUCCCUGGGCUCAACCCAGGAACUGCAUUUGAUACUGGCAGGCUUGAGUGUGGUAGAGGGUAGUGGAAUUCCCGGUGUAGCGGUGAAAUGCGUAGAUAUCGGGAGGAACAUCAGUGGCGAAGGCGGCUACCUGGACCAACACUGACACUGAGGUACGAAAGCGUGGGGAGCAAACAGGAUUAGAUACCCCAGUAGUCCCUGAGCGGGCUGGCAAGGCGCAU
rnacentral:rRNA from 1 species